GUUUUCCUGCCUCCUCUUAAUUGCUGCUGGGAGAGUCCAGUCUUGAAUUAGUAUCUAAUCUGGACCGCUUUCCUUAAAGCUGAUUACUUGGAGGCCAGAAGAUGGCAGCUCUGGAGAACUACUGACAUGGCAUCUGAGCAUUUCUUUACUGAGGUGGCAUACCUUGCCCCAGAAAAAUCAGAAGCAUUUACAGUGCACAAAUAUACUAAGAGCCUUGCCAAGCCUCCAGAGAUGAACAGUAUAUGCCCUAGAUCUUCAAGGAGAUGCUGAACUCACUGGUACCACAGAGGAUGAGGGAAAAGAAAGAGUCCAAGGGAACAGAGAGAAAGACGAAUGUAAAAAUGUGCACUUAACAACUUCCAAAUUCUGAGACAACUGCCUUCACAGUUUCAACUGGAAAUACACCUUUACUAGUCCAGCAAUCUUCAAGGACUGGGCCAAGGAGAAAGAGCUCCUGGGAAUCACAAUUUUGCUGCUCAUCCUUUAAGAAACCCCAGUUUAAGUGGAAGUUAAUACAGAGAUUUCUCAGUCACAGAGUCAGCUUUUAAUAUGUGCAAAGUCUGUGUUGGUUUGGAAAACUUUGCCCUUGUAUCAAUAGCAGCUUUUGUAACCAACUUCAAUGGCUCUCUACAUUCUUGUCUUUAAGCAGUAAAUUGGAAAUAAAUGAUAAUACACUGGUUUUAAAGACAAAGAAACAUAAAUCAUGCUACUCAAUCUCUAUCAGUUCAUGCAAUCUUUUGGGAAUUUUUGUUUAGAUUUGAAAUUUUUGUGAGUCAGAGGACUGCCUUUA